GUGCACCGGGGCAGUGGCUGCUGCCUCCAGCUCUAAAUAGUUUGGGGCUGGCCCGGUUCCCAGACUGCACUGGAACACUGGGCUUUAUGCCCCCACAUUCAGUGCAUUUGUAUAGAGCAAAUGCUGGCCGCCAACCCAGGCAAGACCCCGAUCAGCCUUCUGCAGGAGUAUGGGACCAGAAUAGGGAAGACGCCUGUGUACGACCUUCUCAAAGCCGAGGGCCAAGCCCACCAGCCUAAUUUCACCUUCCGGGUCACCGUUGGCGACACCAGCUGCACUGGUCAGGGCCCCAGCAAGAAGGCAGCCAAGCACAAGGCAGCUGAGGUGGCCCUCAAACACCUCAAAGGGGGGAGCAUGCUGGAGCCGGCCCUGGAGGACAGCAGGUGAGGGAGGAACCGAGGCAUCCCAGAAGCCCUUCAAGGAACCCAGGCCCUGCACCACCCCCUCUGCCCCCAGGCCUGGCCAGGUUGGAGUCUGUUGCUCCUCUGGUUCUUGGGUACAAAGAUACCCUCUUCUCUGAGACCCUCUUUUCUCAAUCUUUUUGCCAGUGUUUGGCA
rnacentral:sRNA from 1 species